UGUGCCCGGAGAAGUGAAGACUUUAAAGUUGACCUGUUAGGAAAGGGAAAAUCAGCAACUUUAAUAUCUAGAAGUUAAAUCCUCUAGUCAAACCAGAAGACCGUGUUUAAGAGCAGCGGCCAAAGGUGGUUCAACCAUUAUAACCUCAGCUUAUUUUUCUAAGUCCAGAUCAAUAGUCCACUUUCCAGUUUCUAUAAAGGUGCUUGAUUUAGCCCAAGGGAUUUAUUCAUGAGCAAAUUUGAAUAACGUUCAGUGAACAUAAGAGAAAGUAACUUUUAGGCUUGUUUUGAACUGUAAAUUGGCUUAUAACAUGUGAAAAGGACAGUUCUUAACCAUGGAACUUGUAAAGCAAGGCUGAUGGAGUCCGUGGGUCCCCAAGAAGUGCAAACAAAAUUCUAGAGAACACCCAAAA
rnacentral:lncRNA from 1 species